GAACUCCUGACUUCAAGUGAUUGGACUCCCAAAGUGCUGGAAUUACAGGCAUAAGCCACCAUGCCUGGCCUCCCCUAAUUUGCUUCUUUAAACCUCUCUACAUCAUCACAAGUUGGGUGUUACUAUGAUCACUAUUUUACAGGUCAGCCAAAGAGGAGCAAAGAGUCAUCUACCUCAAUCAUGUUCAGGAAAUGAUCAGGUCAAGAUGUGGAGUGAGCCAGCUUUUCUCUUUCGUGCCACAUUUUCUGACCCAGCAUUUCAAGGUACUUCUAAUACACAAAGACUAUUACAAGAGGGAGGAAAGAAGGAAGGUCAGUUAUCUGAAGAACUGAGGCUAGCUAGAAGCCCAAAUUUGGUGUGAUGGGGGCCAUCAAAUCUCAACAGAAACAGCUUUCUCUCUCUGUUAUCCUGGACAGGGCUUGUGAUUUUUUUUUUUCCUCCACUCAGCCAUAGACUCUCAGCUACAUAUCCUCUAGCCUGGAGUAGUCAAAUCAGCUCAUCUCUUUCUCUCUCAUACCAAACUUUCAAAAACAAAACAAAACAAACCAAAAAAACA